UACGUAGGGGGCAAGCGUUGUCCGGAUUUAUUGGGCGUAAAGCGCACGCAGGCGGUGCAGUAAGUUCAGAGUGACAGGUGGUGGCUUAACUACCACAGGCCUCGGGAAACUGCUGCACGUUGAGGGCUUGAGAGGGACGCGGAAUUCCAGGUGGAGCGGUGAAAUGCGUAGAGAUCUGGAAGAACACCAAAAGGCGAAGGCAGCGUCCUGGCGAGUCACUGACGCUCAGGUGCGAAAGCUAGGGGAGCGAACGGG
rnacentral:rRNA from 1 species